rnacentral:rRNA from 1 species
UGGCGGCGCGUCUUAAGCAUGCAAGUCGAGCGGUAAGAUUGGUGCUUGCACUAAUCCUAGAGCGGCGGACUGGUGAGUAACGCGUGGGUGACGUACCUCUGUGACGGGGACAGCUCCUAGAAAUAGGAGAUAAUACCGGAUACGCUGCAACAUGUCAGAGGUGUUGCAGGAAAGGAUCUUUUGAUUCGCACAGAGAGCGGCCCGCGUACUAUUAGCUGGUUGGUGAGGUAACGGCCCACCAAGGCGACGAUAGUUACCCGGCCUAAGAGGGUGAUCGGGCACAUUGGGACUGAGAUACCGGCCAGACUCCUACGGGAGGCAGCAGCUAAGAAUAUUCCGCAAUGGACGAAAGUCUGACGGAGCGACGCCGCGUGGAUGAUGAAGGCCGGAAAGGUUGUAAAAUCCUUUUAUGACUGAGGAAUAAGUGAAGUGAGAGAAACGCUUCAUGGUGACUGUAGGUCAUGAAUAAGCAACGGCUAAUUACGUGCCAGCAGCAGC